UACACGUAUAUUCCAGUCCGUAGUCCUUAACUAGGUAACUUCUGGGUAUUUCCAAUCCGCUGGCCCACGAGUCUCUUGAUUUGUAUCUGAACCCAUCCUGGUUUAUCUAUUGCUAUUAUUUGAAAUCUUCCAAUUAUUAUCAAAGUUUACAUGCUUCUAUAACGUUAUUAAAACGUAUUUUCUGCUGGUUUGCUUUUUUAAGACUUUGGCAAGAUCUCUCAAUGAUGAUAACUCACAGACCUGUACUGAAAUACUGUGAUUGCACUAUAUUUAUCUGAAGAGAGACUGACGUCAAUUUCGCGGAAUUUUAUUGGAAACCCUCCGUGUUCUGAAAGCUUCAAAUUCAAACACGUGUCUCAACUGCACGGUUUUCUUUUGCAGCUGUCGACCACGAGGAGCAUGACUUGCAUGGGCUUAUGGGAAGUUUCCAUGCCCUCUGCUGGGAUGAGUAGACCGAGAUCUGUUAAAUUCAAGGCAUCCUUCUCAUGAACUUGAGAGCAUGAUGACCAUGGGUUGUGUUGGUAAUUUGCCUCCUUUUGUCGUGUUGGUCAGGGUACAUCAUGAGGUAGUGCCUGCAUGAUGAGCUCUCACCAAAGACCUGGAACUCCCGAGGGCUGUUUUUUGUCCAAGACUGAGUGGCUCAAGUCCUUUUGGUGGUAUUGGGUUUCACAUCUGUAGUACGCUCAACGGGUGGCACACCUGAUGUGGGGAGUUAACAGGACUGCAGGGGAUUCUUAAAGUUCUGCUCCCUUGAACGUAUUGAAGCUGGUAUGUAGUUUUGUGACUGACUUUAAAGGUCACUUAAAUUGCAUCGGAGAAGUUGAACUUGCUGAAACCUGAUGUUCAUCCCUGUACUAUAGAUCUGCUGAACUAAAGUGACUGGUGUUCGUGACUUUUUCUUUGUCUUUAUUCUGAAGAUUGCAAAAUAAAAGUCUCCU